AUACAGAGGGUGCGAGCGUUAAUCGGAAUUACUGGGUGUAAAGCGCGCGUAGGCGGCUUAUUAAGUCAGAUGUGAAAUCCCCGGGCUCAACCUGGGAACUGCAUCUGAUACUGGUAAGCUAGAGUUUUGGAGAGGGAAGUAGAAUUUCAGGUGUAGCGGUGAAAUGCAUAGAGAUCUGAAGGAAUACCAGUGGCGAAGGCGACUUCCUGGCCAAAAACUGACGCUGAGGUGCGAAAGCGUGGGUAGCAAACGGGAUUAGAAACCCUAGUAGUCC
rnacentral:rRNA from 1 species